ACUCUAAGCGGUGGAUCACUCGGCUCAUGGGUCGAUGAAGAACGCAGCAAACUGUGCGUCAUCGUGUGAACUGCAGGACACAUGAACAUCGACAUUUUGAACGCAUAUCGCAGUCCAUGCUGUUAUGUACUUUAAUUAAUUUUAUAGUGCUGCUUGGACUACAUAUGGUUGAGGGUUGUAAGACUAUGCUAAUUAAGUUGCUUAUAAAUUUUUAUAAGCAUAUGGUAUAUUAUUGGAUAAAUAUAAUAAUUUUUAUUCAUAAUAUUAAAAAAUAAAUGAAAAACAUUAUCUCACAUUUGAAUGUGAAAAACGAAGAGAAAUAUUUUCUUUUUCAAUCAAAUAAUACUGAGAAAUGUCUAGCAUAAAAAAUUGAAAUAUUUUUCAUCUAGAAUUGUCUCUUAUUAAUGAUUCGGAAAUAGAAAAAUCUUGGUUAUGUUAUUAUUCUUCGUUGGUUCGUUAAAAAUGGAUAAAUAAAAACUUUGCAUACAAGAAUUAAUAAAAAUGUUAUAACGAAUUUAAUUAAAUGUUUUAUCAUUAUAUAUAAAGAAUUUAUGGCAAGAUAAAGUUAUAUACAACCUCAACUCAUAUGGGACUACCCCCUGAAUUUAAGCAUAUUAAUUAGGGGAGGAAAAGAAACUAACAAGGAUUUUCUUAGUAGCGGCGAGCGAAAAGAAAACAGUUCAGCACUAAGUCACUUUGUCUAUAUGGCAAAUGUGAGAUGCAGUGUAUGGAGCGUCAAUAUUCUAGUAUGAGAAAUUAACGAUUUAAGUCCUUCUUAAAUGAGGCCAUUUACCCAUAGAGGGUGCCAGGCCCGUAUAACGUUAAUGAUUACUAGAUGAUGUUUCCAAAGAGUCGUGUUGCUUGAUAGUGCAGCACUAAGUGGGUGGUAAACUCCAUCUAAAACUAAAUAUAACCAUGAGACCGAUAGUAAACAAGUACCGUGAGGGAAAGUUGAAAAGAACUCUGAAUAGAGAGUUAAACAGUACGUGAAACUGCUUAGAGGUUAAGCCCGAUGAACCUGAAUAUCCGUUAUGGAAAAUUCAUCAUUAAAAUUGUAAUAUUUAAAUAAUAUUAUGAGAAUAGUGUGCAUUUUUUCCAUAUAAGGACAUUGUAAUCUAUUAGCAUAUACCAAAUUUAUCAUAAAAUAUAACUUAUAGUUUAUUCCAAUUAAAUUGCUUGCAUUUUAACACAGAAUAAAUGUUAUUAAUUUGAUAAAGUGCUGAUAGAUUUAUAUGAUUACAGUGCGUUAAUUUUUCGGAAUUAUAUAAUGGCAUAAUUAUCAUUGAUUUUUGUGUUUAUUAUAUGCACUUGUAUGAUUAACAAUGCGAAAGAUUCAGGAUACCUUCGGGACCCGUCUUGAAACACGGACCAAGGAGUCUAACAUAUGUGCAAGUUAUUGGGAUAUAAACCUAAUAGCGUAAUUAACUUGACUAAUAAUGGGAUUAGUUUUUUAGCUAUUUAUAGCUAAUUAACACAAUCCCGGGGCGUUCUAUAUAGUUAUGUAUAAUGUAUAUUUAUAUUAUUUAUGCCUCUAACUGGAACGUACCUUGAGCAUAUAUGCUGUGACCCGAAAGAUGGUGAACUAUACUUGAUCAGGUUGAAGUCAGGGGAAACCCUGAUGGAAGACCGAAACAGUUCUGACGUGCAAAUCGAUUGUCAGAAUUGAGUAUAGGGGCGAAAGACCAAUCGAACCAUCUAGUAGCUGGUUCCUUCCGAAGUUUCCCUCAGGAUAGCUGGUGCAUUUUAAUAUUAUAUAAAAUAAUCUUAUCUGGUAAAGCGAAUGAUUAGAGGCCUUAGGGUCGAAACGAUCUUAACCUAUUCUCAAACUUUAAAUGGGUAAGAACCUUAACUUUCUUGAUAUGAAGUUCAAGGUUAUGAUAUAAUGUGCCCAGUGGGCCACUUUUGGUAAGCAGAACUGGCGCUGUGGGAUGAACCAAACGUAAUGUUACGGUGCCCAAAUUAACAACUCAUGCAGAUACCAUGAAAGGCGUUGGUUGCUUAAAACAGCAGGACGGUGAUCAUGGAAGUCGAAAUCCGCUAAGGAGUGUGUAACAACUCACCUGCCGAAGCAACUAGCCCUUAAAAUGGAUGGCGCUUAAGUUGUAUACCUAUACAUUACCGCUAAAGUAGAUGAUUUAUAUUACUUGUGAUAUAAAUUUUGAAACUUUAGUGAGUAGGAAGGUACAAUGGUAUGCGUAGAAGUGUUUGGCGUAAGCCUGCAUGGAGCUGCCAUUGGUACAGAUCUUGGUGGUAGUAGCAAAUAAUCGAAUGAGACCUUGGAGGACUGAAGUGGAGAAGGGUUUCGUGUGAACAGUGGUUGAUCACGAGUUAGUCGGUCCUAAGUUCAAGGCGAAAGCCGAAAAUUUUCAAGUAAAACAAAAAUGCCUAACUAUAUAAACAAAGCGAAUUAUAAUACACUUGAAUAAUUUUGAACGAAAGGGAAUACGGUUCCAAUUCCGUAACCUGUUGAGUAUCCGUUUGUUAUUAAAUAUGGGCCUCGUGCUCAUCCUGGCAACAGGAACGACCAUAAAGAAGCCGUCGAGAGAUAUCGGAAGAGUUUUCUUUUCUGUUUUAUAGCCGUACUACCAUGGAAGUCUUUCGCAGAGAGAUAUGGUAGAUGGGCUAGAAGAGCAUGACAUAUACUGUUGUGUCGAUAUUUUCUCCUCGGACCUUGAAAAUUUAUGGUGGGGACACGCAAACUUCUCAACAGGCCGUACCAAUAUCCGCAGCUGGUCUCCAAGGUGAAGAGUCUCUAGUCGAUAGAAUAAUGUAGGUAAGGGAAGUCGGCAAAUUAGAUCCGUAACUUCGGGAUAAGGAUUGGCUCUGAAGAUUGAGAUAGUCGGGCUUGAUUGGGAAACAAUAACAUGGUUUAUGUGCUCGUUCUGGGUAAAUAGAGUUUCUAGCAUUUAUGUUAGUUACUUGUUCCCCGGAUAGUUUAGUUACGUAGCCAAUUGUGGAACUUUCUUGCUAAAAUUUUUAAGAAUACUAUUUGGGUUAAACCAAUUAGUUCUUAUUAAUUAUAACGAUUAUCAAUUAACAAUCAAUUCAGAACUGGCACGGACUUGGGGAAUCCGACUGUCUAAUUAAAACAAAGCAUUGUGAUGGCCCUAGCGGGUGUUGACACAAUGUGAUUUCUGCCCAGUGCUCUGAAUGUCAAAGUGAAGAAAUUCAAGUAAGCGCGGGUCAACGGCGGGAGUAACUAUGACUCUCUUAAGGUAGCCAAAUGCCUCGUCAUCUAAUUAGUGACGCGCAUGAAUGGAUUAACGACGGACGUGUUUUCGU
rnacentral:rRNA from 1 species